GUGUGAUACAAUUCCUCUAUCGUGAGUUCCGACUAGAUGGAGGUCAUGGAGAACUCGUCACACCCCAUCGUCAGGCUUAUACUAGAAUGGCUAGACUCGAGUUCAUUUGUAAAUUUCAUAAAAAAAUUUUUUGAUAUUCACUCUUGCUCUAGCCAGAGACUUCCUGAACUCAGUCUUGCAAAUCACAUAGGACUUCUCUUUUUUUACC
rnacentral:lncRNA from 1 species